UUAAGGCCCCGCAACGAGCGCAACCCUCGUUGCUAUGUUGCCNAGCACGUAAAUGUUGUGAACUCAUAGGAGACUUCCGGGGUCAACUCGGAGGAAGGUGGGGAUGACCGUCAAAUCAUCAUUGCCCUUUAUGUCUUUGGGCUUCACGCAUGCUACAAUGGCCUGGUACAGAGAGAUUGCGAGACCGCGAGGUUUUAGCGAAUCCCUUAAAGCCAGUCUCAGUUCGGAUCGUAGUCUGCAAAAAGACUACGGGACACCUCGGAGUCGCUAGUAAUCGCAGAUCAGCAACGCUGCGGUGAAUACGUUCCCGGGCCUUGUACACACCGCCCGUCAAGUCACGAAAGUCGGUAACACCCGAAGCCGGUGGCCCAACCCCCUUGUGGGGAGGGGCCGUUAAGGUGGGCCUGCUAAUGGGACUAAGUCGUAACAAGGUAGCCGUACCGGAAGUGCGGCUGGAUCACCUCCUAAAGGGCGAUUGCGC
rnacentral:rRNA from 1 species